rnacentral:rRNA from 1 species
GAUGAACGCUGGCGGCGUGCCUAAUACAUGCAAGUCGAGCGAACGGAUGAGAAGCUUGCUUCUCCGAUGUUAGCGGCGGACGGGUGAGUAACACGUGGAUAACCUACCUAUAAGACUGGGAUAACUUCGGGAAACCGGAGCUAAUACCGGAUAAUAUUUUGAACCGCAUGGUUCAAAAGUGAAAGACGGUCUUGCUGUCACUUAUAGAUGGAUCCGCGCUGCAUUAGCUAGUUGGUAAGGUAACGGCUUACCAAGGCAACGAUGCAUAGCCGACCUGAGAGGGUGAUCGGCCACACUGGAACUGAGACACGGUCCAGACUCCUACGGGAGGCAGCAGUAGGGAAUCUUCCGCAAUGGGCGAAAGCCUGACGGAGCAACGCCGCGUGAGUGAUGAUGGUCUUCGGAUCGUAAAACUCUGUUAUUAGGGAAGAACAUAUGUGUAAGUAACUGUGCACAUCUUGACGGUACCAAAUCAGAAAGCCACGGCUAACUACGUG